rnacentral:rRNA from 1 species
UACAGAGGUCUCAAGCGUUGUUCGGAUUCAUUGGGCGUAAAGGGUGCGUAGGUGGCGCUGUAAGUCGGGUGUGAAAUUUCGGAGCUUAACUCCGAAACUGCAUUCGAUACUGCGGUGCUUGAGGACUGGAGAGGAGACUGGAAUUCCAGGUGUAGCGGUGAAAUGCGUAGAUAUCUGGAGGAACACCGGUGGCGAAGGCGGCAUCCUGGACCAACACUGACGCUGAGGAGCGAAAGCCAGGGGAGCAAACGGG